GCCCUAGUGGCACAGUGGUUAAGUGCUUGGCUGCUAACCAAAAGGCUGGUAGUUUGAACCCACUUCGCGGCU
rnacentral:tRNA from 1 species